rnacentral:misc_RNA from 1 species
CCACCCGACUCUUGUUGGUUCUCUUCACUUUGCCCAUACACCACCACAGGCCCACAGCUCCAUUCAAGUGUUCAUGGCUCUCCUUUUGUCCCCAUCAGUAUCCUCUCCAUGUGGUAUUUAGACCCAUUUCGUUAGCUCAUCCCUGAAUGCCUAAAUCUCUAUAGUUGCUUGUUCACCAGUUUCCCUAAUCUCAACACUCAUUUGGAGAGGAAGAGUAGUUUUAGUGAAUGCUAGAGUUCAGAAAGAUCGCAGCUGCAUUCGGAGUGGAAGAGUGUGAUUGGAUUAAAGGCUUCGAUGGAAGAGUGUUUAGGUCUCCUACUUUGUUUGAAGACAUGGUCAAGUGCAUUCUCCUUUGCAAUUGCUAGUAACCUUCCUCUUCUGAUGCCUUUAUGCUGUUUGACAUAUUGUCGCAAGGAGGAUAUUUUAAACUUGUUUUAUUGUAUAAUGUUUAUUUAUUUAUUUUGGGUUUCUCUUGUUUCAAUAUCCUAUCACUCUUGGCAGAUGGUCAAGGACUCUAAGCAUGGCCAGAGCUCUCUGUGAGCUUCAACUGGAACUGCAGUUUCAAUCAUGCAGUGUGAAUGCAAGUACCAAGAAUCAACAAACUGAUACAAACAAUUUCAGUCCUAAAACACCUGCUGGAAAAGAGUCCAAGAGGAAGCUCAGAGCUUCCAAAGUAUCCACAAAUUUAACAAAUAAGUUUCUGGGUACGGAUAUGGAUUUGGAAGCUGAUACUUGCUUGACAAUGGAUGAUGCGCAAAUGAAGAUAGCAAAUUUAAGACCAAACUUCUCUCUUCGUUGUAUAGAAGGUGAUUCCUCUGGCAAUUACAAAUCAUGUGAGGCAGCAAAUAAAGUUUUCGAAACCAGUUCCUUUGAAACUUCUGUUCUUCAAUCUCAUAAGAUGACACAGCAUUUUGCACACCAACCAAUUUGUAAUUUUCCAAGUCCAACGGAACUAGCAAUCCUUGAUGAUAGAUUUCUGGCAAAGCGCUGUGGUCUUGGCUAUAGAGCAGGUCGAAUAAUAAAACUUUCCCAGGAUAUUGUUGAAGGGAGGAUUCCAAUGGAGGAACUUGAAGAAGUUUGCAAUGGAGGGAGCAUAUCCAGCUAUAGUAAAUUGGCUGAUCAGCUCAGAGAAAUUGAUGGGUUUGGUCCAUUCACGCGUGCAAAUGUGCUUAUGUGCAUGGGAUUUUAUCAUGUUAUUCCUACUGAUUCUGAAACAGUGAGGCAUCUAAAACAGGUCCAUGCCAAAGAUUCUACAAUUCAAACAGUUCAAAGGGAUGUUGAAAAGAUAUACGGAAAAUAUGCACCCUUCCAAUUCUUAGCCUACGGGGCAGAAUUAUGGCACUUCUAUGAGCAAAGGUUUGGGAAGCUAAGUCAAAUGCCUUGCUCUGAUUAUAAACUUAUUACUGCCAGUAAUAUGAAAAAUGAAGGAAGUCGUAAAAUCAAGAGGAGUAGGGUAUCUUGACAGUGAUACGGAGUUAUCAUGACUUAAGUUAAACGAGAAGCUACCGUUGGACCUGUGGCAUAAAUUAUUUCUUCACGGAAGAUACACAUAGGAGGAUGCUUCUGGGAAGAAAAAUAAAGCCCAGCAACUCAGAAGGCAAAUUUUUAGAUCAUGAAUGCUGAACUGGUCUCCACAAUUCUAAUUCUGUAGAUUCUACCAUGCAGUUAGAGAUUUGUUCAUGGUCAAGUUUACGCAACUUUAUUCUUUUUCAUAAUUCAUUUAUAAGAUGAUACUUCUGAAAUUUGUGAGGAUGCAGAACCUAGUAAUUGCAACUUCUUUACCUUUGUCCUUGUUCCUUACAGCUUCUCACUUCCCUCUUUUGUUAAACAGUUAGGGAUAUAAGGUUGUGAAGUGAAUUAUCAUAAAAUAUGUCUUUGGCUAAAGUUGGACAACCACAAAAGGCAGCCUCUUCAUUUAAUCUAGAUGUGGCCCUAACUUUAGUAUGUUCUUAUUAAAUGGAAGCUAACGAGUGAAAUCCAAGCACCUGUUCUUUGCAGUCCAAGGACUUGGUUAUAGUUCUUCUACUUCUUCAGUUCUAAGCCUUUCUGAUACAGAUGUUCAAGGGAUAGCAAAAAAUGCAACCUGAGAACGAGUACUAAAUAUUUAGUUUCUAUAUCUUCAAGAAACAUAGCGGUUGUGAAAUUUGCUAUUUUCUUACAUUUGCAGGCUGUUUAUUAAGUAAGAAAAUGGCACAUUCAUUGUGAGACAGUCACAUUUGUAUCUUUCUUCUAUCUACAUGCAGAUUAGCAAUUUGAUCCUGUGUAUAGCUGAUCGGUAGAACUUACAGAUGUAUCAAUGUCAUUUUUGAGCUGAAUAAUUUGAGUGGAAUUGUGCCUGUGAGCUGAU